rnacentral:tRNA from 1 species
GGUGGCUCAGUGGUAGAGUACUUGCCUUGCAUACAUGAGGCCUGGGGUUCAAUUCCUCAGCACCA